rnacentral:rRNA from 1 species
GACGAACGCUGGCGGCGUGCUUAACACAUGCAAGUCGAACGGAAAAGCCCUGCUUGCAGGGUACUCGAGUGGCGAACGGGUGAGUAACACGUGGGUGAUCUGCCCUGCACUUCGGGAUAAGCCUGGGAAACUGGGUCUAAUACCGGAUAGGAGCCAUUUUUAGUGUGAUGGUUGGAAAGUUUUUUCGGUGUAGGAUGAGCUCGCGGCCUAUCAGCUUGUUGGUGGGGUAAUGGCCUACCAAGGCGGCGACGGGUAGCCGGCCUGAGAGAGUGGACGGCCAAAGUGGGACUGAGAUACGGCCCAGACUCCUACGGGAGGCAGCAGUGGGGAAUAUUGCACAAUGGGCGCAAGCCUGAUGCAGCGACGCCGCGUGGGGGAUGACGGCCUUCGGGUUGUAAACUCCUUUCGCUAGGGACGAAGCUUUUUGUGACGGUACCUAGAUAAGAAGCACCGGCUAACUACGUG